rnacentral:lncRNA from 1 species
CGGGUUGUGGAUGUGUUCAGACUGUUCAGGGUUGUGGAUGUGUUCAGACUGUUCAGGGUUGUGGAUGUGUUCAGAAUGUUCAGGGUUGUGGAUGUAUUCAGAAUGUUCAGGGUUGUGGAUGUGUUCAGAAUGUUCUGGGUUGUGGAUGUUUCAGACUGUUCUGUGUUGUGAGAUGUAUUCAGGGUUGUGGAUGUGUUCAGGGUUGUGGAUGUGUUCAGACUGUUCAGGGGUUGUGAAUGUGUUCAGGGUUUGUGGAUGUGUUCAUAAUGUUAUGGGUUGGGAUGUGUUCAGACGUUCAGGGUGUUGUGGGUUCAGACUGUUCAGGGUUGUGGAUGUGUUCCAGACUGUUCAGGGUUGUGGAUGUGUUCAGACUGUUCAGGGUUGUGUAUGUGUUCAGGGUUGUGGAUGUGUUCAGACUGUUCUGGGUUGUGGAUCGACGUUCUGGGUUGUGGAUGUGUUCAGACUUUUCAGGUGUUGUGGAUGUGUUCAGACUGUUCAGGGUUGUGGAUGUGUCAGACUGUUCAGGGUUGUGGAUGUGUUCAGAAAGUUCAGGGUGUGGAUUGGUCAGACUGUUCAGGGUUGUGGAUGUGUUCAG